AUGCAGCGCGGCAUGGACGCGUCGAUCUCGGCGCUGUGCGGCUCCCUCUCCGACGUGCUCACCCACGCCGACGACUCCUCCCGCGCGCUCUCCGACGCCCUCUCCCGCCGCGCCAUCCCCCUCGAGUCGGCGACGAACGCGUUCCUGCAGGGGCUGGACCGGCGGGUGGAGGCCGCGGGCGCCGACCUGGCGCGCCUCGAGUCCAUGGCCUUCGGCACCGUCUCCGUCGAGGAGCUCCUCGGCCACUUCCGCGAGACGCUCAACAUCGUCUCCCGCCACGCCGACGCCGUCGAGUCCCGCCUCGUCUCCUUCGGCUACGUCGCCCCCGAAGUGGAGGACGAGGUGGAAGAGGAGGAGGAAGGUGGAGACUUGGGGGACCUUGAUGUCCCCGGGAAUGGGCUCUUGGGAGGGUCAAGCUCGGUCCUCAGGUCUGCCCGGAAGCACUUCGAUGACGACGAUGAACUAUUUGAGGAUUCCAUGUCACUAAAGAAUUUUGGGAUUUCUGAUGCUUGUCUAGCUACUCUGUCCUCUCAAGAUAUUGAUUUUUCUGCAAGCCCAAAGAUGCCUCACAGAAAACCUGGAAGUGUUGAUGAUGACCAAAAGAUCUUGGAGGAAGCUGAAGAACCCACACCUCCCCAAAUUGAAACAUAUGAGCAAGAUGACAAUGCUUUCCAAGGAAUGAUAAGGGCGUCGAAGGAGGAGUACGAUAAACUUCCUCCUUACAUGAAGACUCUUGCAUCAUGGGAGGAAUUGCAUGACGCCGUUUCAAAACUAAAUGCAUACUUUGGUGGUGAUAAGGCUCAGGGACGUUUGAAUCAGGAUGAUGUUGCAUCAAUCGGCUUGGGGCGCAAAGGAAGAUCCUACUUGUUGAUCCUUCUGCGGCUGAAUCAACUGGCUAUGGAGACGAUUGAUGGCUCAAUCUUCUACAACCUACGCAAGAACGACUCCUAG
rnacentral:rRNA from 1 species